rfam:Homo sapiens chromosome 1, GRCh38 reference primary assembly.
GCCGGGCACGGUGGCUCAUGCCUGUAAUCCUAGCACUUUGGGAGGCUGAGGCAGGUGGAUCACUUGAGGUCAGGAGUUCGAGACCAGCCUGGCCAACAUGGUGAAACCCUGUCUCUA